rnacentral:rRNA from 1 species
CCCUUAGAUGUUCUGGGCCGCACGCGCGCUACACUGAUGCAUUCAACGAGCCUAGCCUUGACCGAGAGGUCCGGGUAAUCUUUGAAACUGCAUCGUGAUGGGGCUAGAUUAUUGCAAUUAUUAAUCUUCAACGAGGAAUGCCUUGUAAUCGUGAUUCAUCACAUCACGAUGAAUACGUCCCUGCCCUUUGUACACACCGCCCGUCGCUCCUACCGAUCGAAGAGUUAGGUGAAUUGUUUUGAUCGAUAAGAUUUGACUAUGGUCAACUCUCGUUGUGAAAUUCUGUGAAUCUGACUGUUUAGAGGAAGGAAAAGUCGUAACA